CAGGGGCAGGCUGCCCGAGAGAAUCCGCCGGCUCCGGGCGGUUCCUCGGGCUCGGCCUGCAUGGUUUUGACUUUCCGUGUAUCCGGCGCUAUAGUUUUCAGCAUCACCGCCCGAGAGGCGG
rnacentral:sRNA from 1 species